GAUGAACGCUGGCGGCGUGCCUAAUACAUGCAAGUCGAGCGAACGGACGAGAAGCUUGCUUCUCUGAUGUUAGCGGCGGACGGGUGAGUAACACGUGGAUAACCUACCUAUAAGACUGGGAUAACUUCGGGAAACCGGAGCUAAUACCGGAUAAUAUUUUGAACCGCAUGGUUCAAAAGUGAAAGACGGUCUUGCUGUCACUUAUAGAUGGAUCCGCGCUGCAUUAGCUAGUUGGUAAGGUAACGGCUUACCAAGGCAACGAUGCAUAGCCGACCUGAGAGGGAGUUGGGCCACCUGGGACCUGAGACCCGGCCCAGACUCCUAAGGGAGGCUGCAAGGGGGUAUCGUGAGAAUGGGAGGAAGCCGUGAGGGCCAAGGCGCGGGGGGUGGGGAGGGUUUGACGGAUCAAAGACCUCUUUUAUAAGGGAAAAGCAUUUGGGUAAUUAACUGUGAAUUUCUGCCCGGUACAUAACAAGAAAGCCAGGCCAAACUUGGGG
rnacentral:rRNA from 1 species